UACGUAGGGGGCAAGCGUUGUCCGGAAUCAUUGGGCGUAAAGCGCGUGUAGGCGGCUCGAUAAGUCUGCUGUGAAAGUCCAGGGCUCAACCCUGGGAUGCCGGUGGAUACUGUCGAGCUCGAGUCCGGAAGAGGCGAGUGGAAUUCCUGGUGUAGCGGUGAAAUGCGCAGAUAUCAGGAGGAACACCAACGGCGAAGGCAGCACUCUGGGCCGGAACUGACGCUGAGGAGCGAAAGCGUGGGUAGCGAACAGG
rnacentral:rRNA from 1 species